rnacentral:snRNA from 1 species
GAGUGAAACAGCUCUUCAAGAAUUUUUCUAACAGGAUUUCUUGGUCAGAAAUCUUAA